rnacentral:rRNA from 1 species
ACUCCUACGGGAGGCAGCAGUGGGAAUAUUGCACAAUGGGCGCAAGCCUGAUGCAGCAACGCCGCGUGAGGGACGACGGCCUUCGGGUUGUAAACCUCUUUUAGCAGGGAAGAAGCCUUCGGGUGACGGUACCUGCAGAAAAAGCGCCGGCUAAACUACGUGCCAGCAGCCGCGGUAAUACGUAGGGCGCAAGCGUUAUCCGGAAUUAUUGGGCGUAAAGAGCUCGU